rnacentral:lncRNA from 1 species
AUGCCGGGAGCCCUUUGGGGCGUGGCCGUAUGUCCCUGCCGGACCCGGGGGUCCCUUUGGGGCGGGGCUCCGUCUGCGGUAAGAGGGGGAUCCUCUGGGGCGGGGCCCCCUCACCGCGGCGCGCCGCCCGCUUGGACGAGCCCCGGGGCUGUGAGAGCGCGCCGGGGUCCCGGGACGCGCGGAGGUCCCGGAGCUGCGUCGCGGUCCAGGGGUGCGCGGUGUUCCGGAGCAGUACCGGGACGGCGGGCGCGCGAGGACCCGGGGUUAUGCUGGGGACCCGGGGCGCGCAAGGGUCCCAGGGGUGCGCGGUGCUCCAGGGGGCGCGCGGUGGGACAAGUGCGGAGGCGGGCGCGGCGGGGGCGGGGGUCGGGUCUGGGGCGCCCGGUGGCCCCCGAGCGGGGCUCAGAGGGGCGGCGGGCGGCCGCGCGGCCGCUGCCCGGGCUCCGCCAUGCUGCUCCGCGGCCGGGAGGGAAGGAGAGAGGAGGGCGGGAGAGCGGCGCGGAGCCGGGCCGGGCGGGGGGCUGGGGCCGCCGGGGCGGGGGGAGGGGAGGACCCGGCGCGGGGGGCGGGGGGCCGGGGCCGCGCCGGGCCGGGCCGGGCCGGGCCGGGCCGCAGGGAGUCCGGGCGAGCUCUGCGCCCGGGCGCGGCGAGGCGGGGUCUGAUGGGCAUGGCAGGCGCUCGCUCGCUCCUCUCCUGUUCCCUCGCUCGCUACCUCAUACACACGCGCGGAGGGAGGCGAAGCCCGCAGCAGCCACUUCCCAACUUUCCAAACUUCCCAGCGCAACUUUUUCCUCUCCUCCCCUGCCCGCGCCUCCUCCUCGAUCUCCCUCCCUCCUCCCUUCGCCAGCUCCCCUCCGGGCCGCAGCUUCCGCGCGCGGCCACCAGAGGGCGCCAGGGCCGAUAUCCGAAAGGCCAACUUCAAUCCGCUCCGCUCUGGACUCCACUGGCCCGGGCAGAGGCAAACGUGGGGACAUGGACCAGACAAGUCCUGGAGCCGUGAACAGCGAGAGAGGAGAGGGACAGGAGUGGGUCGGCGCUCCCAGACUGGCUGGAAGGCAGCACUCAAAGGAAAUCCCCGGAAGCUGGUAUCUACAACUUUGUAUCAAACCCCUGUUCCCAAUGCUGGCACGUGAUUAG